AGCCGCGGGAUGGAGGUGCCCUCACUCUUUUAUCGGUUUACCACAAAAAACAGGUACCACUGUUUUUGCUAUAGCAGUUUCCACGCAAAAAUAAUUUCAUAAUUCGUAUAAUGUUUCAUUGCAUAUUAUUUUCCCGGUCGCUACAGCCAUCUAGAUUAUAUAAUCUGCAACUCGUUUUGGUUUCGUAUGGUUUUGAUUGCCAUUACAGUUAUUGUAAUGGCAAACCAGGGAGGACGUUAGAAAAUUGAAAACGUAAUCCAUGAUGGCCGUCGUUCUUUUCUAUCCUUUCCUCUUCAUUUCAUUUUGAGGCGAAUUUUGAGGGCGUUGUAUCGCCGGACGUGGUGCCAUUUCUGCGUUUUGUGAUUUUGUCAAGUGUUCCUUUCACAUGCGGAAUAAAACUUUUCGUUUUCAUCGUCAUCAUUCUAAAGUGUCUCUUUUCAGCUUUCGUUGUUAAGAAAAUCUGACAAAGUGGUGCCGAAUAAUAGUUACGCAGUCAGACGUGCACUUGGUUUGUGCUGGGCAGAAUUGGGCUGAUUAAGGAAUUACAAGAAGAGUGUUAGAUUUUCUUUCACCUUUUUCUCUUGCUGCCCGUGAAGGUUAACGAGCAGUUGUUUAUGCACGCGUGAAUUAUUUCCCUAUUUCCAAGUGCUAAGUCUUUGUUUAUUUUGGCAUGGUUUCAAUCUUUACAAAAUUGAAUAAUGCCUGUACAAAAUUUCAACCUCACCCCCCACUGAAGUGGAUACUGGAGAACGCGUAUUACCUUGACAUUGGUUUUCUGGGUUGUCUGUGCGAUCCCCGACAUUCCAAUCCUCCGGGUCCCGUCACGACCGUUGCCUCUGCUCCUUUAUCGGCGUCUUUCGUCUCCAUCUCGACCUCUUCGCCUUCAGCCAAGUUACGAAAUCCGUUCAUACGGAUCACGCUCUUAAAAAAAUAACCACAACAAUUCUAUGUUAUGAGUCGUGAUUAAUCAAGAACCACCGAAUAGUAAAACUCUUAUUCGUCCUCCUAUUUUUGAAUCGAUUAUAGAAAUAGCCACGAAAAGAAAACGAGCUUGAAAUUCCGGUAGCAGACCAAAUUCUUCGGAUGAUUAAAAAAUUGUGUGAUUAUCUUGUUAUAAUCCCCCACCCUCACACAUUAAACACAUUCAAUCUCUUAUGUAUAGACAUAUAGUUGCUAUAGUUGCAGUUGCCCGGACCCAUGAUAAAUUCAUAAUACAUUCCUUCUUAUUAUUUAUUCAAAGAUUCAGUUUGGAAAUUUUUGUUUUUAUUUUCUUUCCCCCCAGUGGAGACGAUGAUGUAUAGCGAGUCCAACAGAUGUGCCGGCAGCUGGACAACGAUCGAUCGCGCCGUAGGAAAUAAUAAGACGGAAAUCAAUACAGGAUAGCCUCUCUCCGAGUCCGUCGCGUUGCUGGACAUAUCAACGGGAUUGUAGUAGCGUACUAUAGAAAUGGGAUCGGUCAGAGCCAUCAGGAUUUCGUUUGCUUGUUGCUCUGACGAUAGUCGACACUUGUAUUUAACUGUUGUGUAUCUCCAUGGGCAACUGGUAAAUUCUAAAGGUUAUUUUCUUAAUUGUUUUCCCAUAAACCCACACGCUAAGGCUCUCGAGUUAUCUCUACAUGGCACUUGAAAAAUAGAAACUUGCUUCUUUCAUCCUCAAAAUAGAACGACCGCGGCCAUUCAAAUGUUAUUUUCCCUUACAUUUAUAGAUAUUUCACGUUUGUGCUGCCUAUAAAUACAAAAGUAUAUUUCUA